rnacentral:misc_RNA from 1 species
GAUGAAGAACGUAGCGAAAUGCGAUACGUAAUGUGAAUUGCAGAAUUCAGUGAAUCAUCGAAUCUUUGAACGCAUAUUGCGCUCUUUGGUAUUCCGAAGAGCAUGCUUGUUUGAGUAUCAGUAAACACCUCAAAGUCUUUUUUUCUUGAAGAAAAAGACCUUGGACUUGAGCAAUCCCAACUCUUCUUUCAGAAGAGGCGGGUUGCUUGAAAUGCAGGUGCAGCUGGACAUUCUCCUGAGCUAAAAGCAUAUUCAUUUAGUCCCGUCAAACGGAUUAUUACUUUUGCUGCAGCUAACAUAAAGGGAGUUUGACCAUUUUGGCUGACUGAUGCAGGAAUUUCACAAGAGUCUUCAAAACGCUCUUGUUAAACUCGAUCUCAAAUCAAGUAAGACUACCCGCUGAACUUAAGCAUAUCAUAGCGGAGGA